rnacentral:rRNA from 1 species
CCGAAAGGUGGUCUAAUACUUCAUAAUAUCCAUCUCGUAUGGAUUAAAGCUUUAUGCGCUUGGGGAGGGGCCUGCGUAACAUUAGCUUGUUGGUGAGGUAAAAGCUCACCAAGGCUUCGAUGUUUAACUGGUUUGAGAGGAUGACCAGUCACACUGGGACUGAGAUACGGCCCAGACUCCUACGGGAGGCAGCAGUAAGGAAUCUUCCACAAUGGGGCAACCCUGAUGGAGCAAUACCGCGUGCAGGAUGAAGCGUUUCGGCGUGUAAACUGCUUUUAUCACCGAAGAUUAUGACUGUAGGUGAAGAAUAAGGACCGGCUAACUACGUG